rnacentral:lncRNA from 1 species
CCUCUGUACCUGAAGUCAACCCAGCGCUGAAGUGCAUGCUUGGUGUGCCUUCCUGUGGGUUUGGACCGAUGUCUGCGUAUGACAUGGAACCACCUCUGUAGUAUCCUACAGAGUAGGUGCACUCUCCCACAAGCCCUCUGGGCUCUGCCUACUCCUUCCUCCUGCCCCCCUAUCCCCUGGGACCCCUGACCACCCCCUGUCUUCAGCAUUUUGCCUUUCCCAGGAUGUCUGCCAUUAGCAGGUUUAUGUCAUUCCCACCUUACAGGAGUUGCAGGUGACUGUUGCAUUUGAAUAUGGUCACUAUCAGAACGUGUAUUAGAGAAAUUACUUUUUGAGAGUAUGUGGCCUUUUUACAUUGACUUCUUUCACUCAAUAAUAUGCAUUCAAGAUUCCUUCAUGUCUUUUUAUGGAUCAAUAGCUCAUUUCUUUUUAGUGCUGGAUAAUACUCCAUUUUGUGGAUGUACCAGUUUUGAUCAUUUUUCUUUAUUAUGGCAUUGGGAAUUGAGCACAGGGCACUCUACUUCUGAGCUACAUCCUCAGUCCUUUAAAAAAAUUUUUUUUUAUGUGAGAAAAGAUCUCAGUUGCCCAGGCUGGCCUGAAACUUGCAGUCUUCCUGCCUCAGUUUCCCUCUGAGAAGCUGGGAUUACAGGUGUGUGUCACUGUGCCUGACUACCACAGUUUAUUCAUUCAUGCACCUACUUGCUUGCUUUCAAGUUUUGGCUAUUAUGAGUAAGAGUGCUAUAAACAUCCGUGUGAGUAGUGUGUGUGUGUGUGUGUGUGUGUGUUAGAACAUGAGUUUUCAGUUGGUUUGGGUAAAUGCCAAGGAUGCGCUUUCUUGGUAUGAGUGUGGGUAGUUUUGUGAGACUGCUCUACUCCUACCAAAGCAGCUCACCAUUUGGCAUUCCUAGCAGCAGUGAGUGAGAGAGAGUUCCUGCUGCUCCACAUCCUCUCCAGCAUUUGGUGUUGCCAGUGUUUGGAUUUGGGGCCAUUUUUAUUGGUGUGCAGUGGUGUCUCAUUGUUUUUUUAAUCUGCAUCACCCCUGUGAAAUAAAAUAUGCAGCCUCUUUUCACAUGCUUACUUACCAUCAGCAUAUCUUCUUUGGGGAGGUGUUUUUUAAUGUCUUGGCCUCAUUUUUAGAGUUUUAAGAGUUCUUUGUAUGUUUUGUAUAACAAUCUGUUUUCAGAUGUGUCUGCAAGUAUUCCAGUCUCUGGCUUUUAUUCUAAUUCUCUUGACAGUGCCUUUUGUAGAGCAGAAGUUUUUAAUUUAAAUGAGGUUCAACUUUUCAAUUCUUUCAUGGAUUGCACCUUGGUGUUGCAUCUAAAAACUUGUGCCAUACCAUAGUCUUCUAGGUUUUCUCCUGUUGUCUUCUAGUAGUGAGUGUAGACUGUGCUUUUUUGAUACUUUAUUAAGGAUGGUCAGUAUGUUGGAAAAACAUUCAGUACUAUCCAAAGUACAGGUAUGAAGACACGAAUUGGUAUGUAAAUACUGUGUAUACAACCAGAGAUAUGAAAAAUUGUGCUCUAUGUGUGUAAUAAUUUUAAUGCAUUCUGCUGUCAUAUUAAAAAAAAGAACAGUAGAGAAAAUAUUUGUUAAUUGUGGCAGGUCCUUCAUACUUUUAUUUCUUCAGGAGGAUUGGUCUUUAUCCAAAGCUAACUUCUCUUAGAAUUAAAUUUUAAAAGUCAUGACAAGUCUAUCAUAAAACUGCUGCCUACAAAUUUAUUUAAAUUUGAGAGAAGCAGAAACUAAUAUGUGAAUAGUAUUGAUAGUACUGCAAUUGAUCACUCGUUUCAUCAAUAAAAGGUUUUAGAGUAGCAAAAAAAAAUGCAUGUAGUAUUGAAGGAGUCUGCUAAAUUUGUUGUCUCAGUAGAAAGAUGUUCUCAGUCCUUUUGUGCUUUCAACAUGCAGGUUGAGAGUACACUGAUAUUAAAAAGGUAUUAGUUUACAUUCAUGCCUGUUCUGUCAGCUUCCUUGAAAAUCAGGUCCACAAAGCUAUAAUCUGUAUGUGUGCAUUAAAGAAAAAAAAUAGCUAAAUGUUGAGUUCUAAUAAGUUCAAAUAUGAGGUGCUCAAACUUACUACUUGGAUCAAGGGACACUUUACUAAAGUAGUUUUAACAUGGUGAAGAGUAAAUUACCCUGUGAUUCUCUUUAGGCCAUUGACCUGUUUGGUCAUAAACACACAAAUAUUUUGAUUAAAAUAAGCAGGUUGAUAAGGAGAAUCACUCGUUGUUGUCAUUCAACAAGAAGGAGUGUGUUUUAAUGAGUUUCAUCUUUACUUAAGUAGGUCACUAAAACACGUGGCAAAACCCCUUUGGAUACUAGUUGUUACGGAACUUCUUCCCCCUGUCCUCAGGGGUGCAUUGUUAAUGUUUUUGUGUAUCAUGGAAUCUUUAUGCAGCUUUACAGAUGCAUAUGUAAGGACACACAUUUGCCUUCCCGUCACAGGCACCUCUCUGUCCUCAGAUCGUCCCCUUAACAGUACGUGUCUCAUGGAGGACUCCAUUUUAGCAUCGCCAGCUGAAAAGAGGUGAAUUUUCAAGACUGUGUGGUGGUAGAUGUUUUUGGAUGGAUAUGCCAAAAUGUAUUUGAUUGGGCAUAUUGAGGGGCUGGGCCUUGUUUUGAUCCUCCCCCUGAGAGUGUUAGCAGAGAGUGGAGAAGACCCAGCACUGGGGGUCUCCAUGGGUUCAUGCAGCUGAGCUGACUGCAGGCGGACUUGGUCAGCUGUAAGUUGGGGCCUUCACAAACAAACCAUGGGGAAUUUUUGACAUAUUUUCAUGUUAAAAAUACUUAAAGGGUUAGACGUAUUCUAUAGGCAUUGCCAGAAGGGAUGGGGGAAGAAAAGAGAAAGAAAGGAGUCAAAGACUGUUUCAGGAGUUUCAGAAUCAGGUUUGAAGAUGAAGAGAAUGAGGGAGUCUGAGUUGAUCCCCCAGCACCCUCCUCUGCUCUUCUGGAGCUCGCUCAGCUGAUGGUCUUUGGGAAGGAAGGAAUGCCAUCACCUAGGCCCAGCCAGCCACCACUGGCGUCUUUCCAAGGGAUGGCACAGUGGAAAGAGGCCCUGAAGCUCAGAUGUGCCUGUGCACCCUCCUGGCCUCUGCUUCUGUAGCUAACUAACAUAGUUCCAGCAAAAGUGCGCCCUCUCCUGUCAGAAGGCCACAUGUUGUGUAGACGUCACCCCCGGCUUUCCCACUCAGCAGCGAGUGGCGAUCUUUCCUAACCAGUGCAGAAAGAGG